GCCAGCAGCCAUAUCACCCUGCAACUCACAACUGUCUGCCCACUGAAGCUCAGCAGGUGUGAGCCUGGUCAGUACAUGGAUAGGAGACCUCCUGGGAAAAACUAAGGUUGCUGCUGGAA
rnacentral:rRNA from 1 species